AAAUAAAAAAGAAAUCGAAAAGAAAAAACACGCGGACAAGAACAGAGCCAUGAUGACGACGCUUUCAUCAUCAUUAUUAUUUUUCAUUCAUUGUCUAUAAGGUUUGCCUCGCUCAAGCUAAGCACAACUAAUAGUAAAGCAGCGUUCGCUCAGAACGGCGAUAUU
rnacentral:ribozyme from 1 species